UUCAAUAUUUGGCAAACUCAGCGAAAGCUGAUGACGCAAAGUUAAGUGUCUAAAAUAAUACAAGUAAUUUUUGUAUUUAUUAUGAUUGACUGGCUGCAUGU
rnacentral:ncRNA from 1 species